rnacentral:rRNA from 1 species
UACGAGGGGGGCAAGCGUUGUUCGGAAUUAUUGGGCGUAAAGGGUGCGUAGGCGGUUUGAUAAGUCAUCUGUGAAAUCUCUGGGCUCAACCCAGAGUCUGCAGGCGAAACUGUCGGGCUUGAGAGUGGGAGAGGUGAGUGGGAUUUCCGGUGUAGCGGUGAAAUGCGUAGAUAUCGGAAGGAACACCUGUGGCGAAAGCGGCUCACUGGACCAUUUCUGACGCUGAUGCACGAAAGCUAGGGGAGCAAACAGG